rnacentral:rRNA from 1 species
UACGUAGGGGGCGAGCGUUGUCCGGAUUUAUUGGGCGUAAAGAGCGUGUAGGCGGCCAGACAGGUCCGUUGUGAAACUGGAGGCUCAACCUCCAGACGUCGAUGGAACCGUCUGGCUAGAGUCGGAAGAGGAGAGUGAAUUCCGGGUGUAGCGGUGGAAUGCGUAGAGAUCCGGAGGAAGACCGGUGGCGAAGGCGGCCUGCUGGGCAGUUCUGACACUGAGGCGCGACAGCGUGGGAGCAACAGG